GAGUUUGAUCGUGGCUCAGAGUGAACGCUGGCGGCAGGCCUAACACAUGCAAGUCGAACGGCAGCACAGGGAGCUUGCUCCUGGGUGGCGAGUGGCGGACGGGUGAGGAAUACAUCGGAAUCUGCCCUGUCGUGGGGGAUAACGUAGGGAAACUUACGCUAAUACCGCAUACGACCUUCGGGUGAAAGAGGGGAUCGCAAGACCGUCUCGCGAUUGGAUGAGCCGAUGUCGGAGUUAGCUAGUUGGCGGGGUAAAGGCCCGACCAAGGCGACGAUCCGUAGCUGGUCCUGAGAGGAUGAUCAGCCACACUGGAA
rnacentral:rRNA from 1 species